AUGAAAAUGUAAUAGACACCGGGCUGAUGUCAACUCUCAGUGCAGCAAUGCCAUGUGAAAAAAAAACGCACCUGCAGCAUUCCUUUUAAGUGACUAAGGUUUAAUGUCUUCGGUGCCACAUCCCCAUCCCUCAUUUACACGCCGUAUGUGCCUGACACUAUUUCCUAUUCCCUGUGCCUCGUGUCCCAAGCCUUAAGGCCGGUGUUGCUGCUCUGAUUGAUUGGCUAUUGAUGCUUCAGGACUGGUUAUGGAUCACUUUCACUGCUAUAGUGGCUGCCUCACAAAGUGUUCUUGGGAUUAAGUCCAAGGUACAUAUCUGGAAGGAAUAUUCGGUGAAUUUGGUACAAGGCGGAAACAUUUCUGGUUCAUUCCACGGACAGAAACGUGUAUAGUAAAGGCUCCACCCCAGGCUCAGGCACUUUUUGAUUGUGACAGGGAGAUCGCCCGGAAUUCGAGUCUGAUCCGAGACUUUAAUGUUUUCUGACGGAAUAGGCAAGAGACGAAGCGCCCCAGUUCAUCAGAGAUUUUUUUUUAAUAUCAUUUUUCCACUCCCGUCAUUAAACCCUGCAUUUUACGCUGAAGUCUUCUGAGGUCAUGACGGACAGCCAUCUCAUACUUCACAGGAUCCGCACCUUUAUUCUGCUGCUACCGGUACAGGAGUUGCACCACGGUGCUUCUUUCUUCUACCUGGGAGAGAAUUCUAUGGAGAGCGGCUAAUGAACAUAAGAAUCCUACAGAAAUCUGAAGAAGAGGAUGGUUAAAGGGACACUGUUACUUAUCAUAUGUGUGAUAACCCUUUGGGGAAAAUUGCUAUCAGCUGCAAACCAUCAUAAAGCUCACCAUGUUAAGACUGGCACCUGUGAGGUAGUGGCUCUGCACAGAUGCUGCAAUAAGAACAAAAUCGAAGAGCGGUCCCAGACGGUGAAGUGCUCCUGUUUCCCGGGACAAGUAGCAGGAACGACGCGUGCUGCUCCUUCAUGUGUUGACGCCUCAAUAGUUUUACAGAAAUGGUGGUGUCAAAUGCAGCCAUGCCUUGAAGGAGAGGAAUGUAAAGUAUUGCCAGAUCGUACUGGUUGGAGCUGUGCCUCUGGGAAUAAAGUAAAGACCACCAAGCUGCUGGUUGGAGAUUGGUAGGGGUUCCAGCCAGGUAAAACUCCCAUUUACCGCUGGAACUCCAAUUCUCCUGCCCAGGAGAGACCUCCUCAGGUGACAGUUCCGACAACUAUCUCAACAUUUAAAUGAACUCCAGGUGACACGAUAGUUGAUGAGAAAGGACAGGCUGCUUUUCGAAGACACCUUAGCUCAAAUGUUGGGUCCUUUCCUUCAACUAUCGCCUGUUGUAGGCUUCUACAAUGACCGCUCUGACCCGGGACACUUUCCCUUGAGCUCAGACAAGGACUCAAUCAUGUGAGGAGGAAAACUAAGAGUUUAAGAAGUCACGGGAGUUCUGGAAUCUGACAAUAUAUGGAUUUUGCCAGUCUAUCAUUUCUCAAUGGGCCAUAUAUAGGAGGAGGAAUCACUGACCUGUAUCUGUUGAGCUUUGCUGCCCAGUUCCAAAAUGUGACCCACAAGAGGAGCAUCAAUCAUCUUUCAGUUUCGUCACUGCAAUCGUGACAUUCUUGGACGUAUCUGAACGGAUGGUUCACAUAUUUGAAAAAGAGCAAGAGAUGGGGUUUCUUGGACCAGUGAGGUGAAAUGGAGUUGUCCUAAAGUUCGUCAUUACCAGACUCGUUGCUCUUGCACUUUUCAGUGACUUUUUGCAGCCACAGCCUUCUGGCUAGAUGCAAGUCGAGACAUUCUCAUCAACAUUCGAGAUUUCAAAACAUGGAGAGACUUUAGCUUUUCACAGUUUGGACUUUCCUUUUGUUAUAGAAAUGAAUACAUUAUGGUAAAUGUGUAUAAACAGCAGUCUGCUUUUGACAGUAAAUGCUUAUCCGUAUACAUAAAUCAAAUGGAAGUUAUUGCAGGAAUCUCUGAUGCAACUGUACUGCUGGCGUUCUUUGGCAAUUGAACAAAUACAAACUAUUUUAAUAACUUCAGUGAAAUGUGCGCACUAACGGAAUACCUAAAUAACAUCUUUUUAUUUGGUUUCAAUUGUUACAUGGAAAAACAAGUCUGAAAGUGUUAGAAUCUUUUUACAUUAUCAAAAUAAUAUUAAUAACACACAACACACUUGUUGUAACAUCAGUUCUGCUUGUAUGCAAGUUACUUAGCAGUUAUGUUUAUCACUGUAGCCUCAUCUUUAUUUGGAAUAUUCGACGUUAUAAUUUUGAUGUGACUAAAUCCUUACAAAUAUUAUUUAAUGAUAACAAUUUUUGUGUACUCUGCAAAGCAGCAGGAGAUUCAGUACCCAAAAGGGAGGAAGAUGUGAAGCAGAUGUUUAUCUCAGUGAUGCUGUAAAAUGUAGCACAGUUUCUGAAACUUUUUUUUUUGUUUUGUUUCUGAACUUGUGUAAAUCUUUGUUUUCAAUGUAAACAGUAAAUAAAAUUCAAGUAGCAAA